CAGCCUGUUGCUAUGGCAAUGAGCCUCACCCUAGCAUACCAACACCUCAGUGUUUGCAGACCCUUGGCUGGCAUCCAGGCAGAUGCAGAGCUGAAACCUGAAGGAAAAAAAAAAGAAGAAGGAAGAAUUCAACUUUAAAAGCUGGUCCCAGGCUGUUUCGUUGAGUUCAUCUUCCCUGGGAAAUGCCUGUUAGGUGGAUUUUGCAAAAGGUGGGGAAAGCAACCAGAGAGAGAGAGUCAUUGCCAGCAGCCAAGUUAAAAGAAGCAUCAGCACCACCCUGCCUGACCUGGCCCAACAGAUAGAUACUAAGAUGCCAUGUUCUACUGUGACAAGGGAGCCAUGCUAUCUGGAGUUAACUUAGGAGGAAAAAGGCUCUUCUAGGAAAUGAGGGUAAUAUAAAACAAAAGACAUCAAUAAAAACAACUUUAAAAGAAAAAAGGCCCAUCGUUUAAACACAACCAUUCUUUCUUUGAUACCUUAAAAUAAUGAGGAGAAACCUCUGAAGAUUUAAAGUUGUGGGUAUCCCAACAUGGAAAGACACAUGGAGGGCAUGAAUAGACUGUGGCAAACAGGGAAGAUUUGCACAGAAGUGGCAUGAAGAAUAUUCAUAGGAAGAUAUAUGAGCAAAAGAAGAGUUUUGUAGGCAUGUACUCCCCUGUAAUCAACACAAGAAGGGAUGUUCCAGGAUGACCUCUAGGAGGUCACUUUGGGGUUCUAUUUGUCCAAGGGUUUUUCCAGAUUGGAUUUAUUGUUAAUAACGAAAAAUGACCUCAAGAUUUAUAAAAAAUACCUUACAGACAUUAUGUACCCUGUGAAUUGG